GACGUAGGGCGCGAGCGUUGUCCGGAUUUAUUAGGCGUAAAGAGCUCGUAGGCGGCUUGUCGCGUCGUCCGUGAAAACUUGGGGCUCAACCCCAAGCUUGCGGUCGAUACGGGCAGGCUAGAGUUCGGUAGGGGAGACUGGAAUUCCUGGUGUAGCGGUGAAAUGCGCAGAUAUCAGGAGGAACACCAACGGCGAAGGCAGCUCUCUGGGACGUUACUGACGCUGAGACGCGAAAGCGUGGGGAGCAAACAGG
rnacentral:rRNA from 1 species